rnacentral:rRNA from 1 species
GAAACUGGUGCUAAUACCGGAUACCCUUCUUUUCUGUUGGGUUAAGGAGGAAAGGUGGCCUCUUCAUGAAAGCUACCGUAUAGGGAUGAGCCUGCGUACCAUUAGCUAGUAGGUGGGGUAACGGCCCACCUAGGCGACGAUGGUUAGCGGGUCUGAGAGGAUGAUCCGCCACACUGGAACUGGAACACGGACCAGACUCCUACGGGAGGCAGCAGUGAGGAAUAUUGCGCAAUGGGGGAAACCCUGACGCAGCGACGCCGCGUGAGUGAGGAAGGUCUUCGGAUCGUAAAGCUCUGUCAGAAGGGAAGAAGUGUUAUAUGGUUAAUACCCAUAUAAUUUGACGGUACCUUCAGAGGAAGCACCGGCUAACUCCGUGCCAGCAGCCGCGGUAAUACGGAGGGUGCGAGCGUUGUUCGGAAUUACUGGGCGUAAAGGGCGCGUAGGCGGCCGGAUAUGUCAGGUGUGAAGUCCCGGCUCACCGUGGAAGUGCAUUUGAACUGUCCGC